rnacentral:tRNA from 1 species
UAAGAAUUAGUUUAUAAAAACAUUAAAUUGUCAAUUUAAAAAUAUUAAUUUUAAUAUUCUUAU